rnacentral:rRNA from 1 species
CCUANGGGAGGCAGCAGUGAGGAAUAUUGUACAAUGGGCGAAAGCCUGACGGAGCAACGCCGCGUGGGGGACGAAGGCCUUCGGGUCGUAAACCCCUGUCAUGGGGAAAGAUGGGCGUCGGGGUGAACAGCCCCGAUGCUUGACGGUACCUCAAGAGGAAGCCACGGCCAACUCCGUGCCAGCAGCCGCGGUAAUACGGAGGUGGCAAGCGUUGUUCGGAAUUACUGGGCGUAAAGGGCGCGUAGGCGGGGAGGUAAGUCGGGUGUGAAAUCCCUCGACUCAACCGAGGAACUGCGCCCGAGACUGCUUUUCUUGAGUCCCGGAGAGGAAGGUGGAAUUCCCGGUGUAGCGGUGAAAUGUGUAGAUAUCGGGAGGAACACCGGUGGCGAAGGCGGCCUUCUGGACGGUGACUGACGCUGAGGCGCGAAAGCGUGGGGAGCAAACGGGAUUAGAUACCCCGNUANUC